rnacentral:misc_RNA from 1 species
UGAUUUAACACAUUUUCAAGUUUGGGCAUGUGUUUUGUUUCUUGACAAUCAUGUGCCUUAUAUUUUGCCCCAUCAAUUAAAAAGGUAUAAAACUCAAACGCUGUCAGCUCAAAUUAGACGGUGUUAAGGGAUUUAUCCCCUUCUUGCUGACAAAGCAAAACAAACGAUACAUGUUUGUCAAGAAAUAAUCCACAUGUCCAAACUUCAAAAUGUGCUAAACCACAAUAUACCUUUUUGUACUUUUCCCUAAAAAUUAUUUCCUCCCCUUAACUUCCUUUUCCAAUAAAGCACAGCCUAAUGUGAAAAUAAUACAAUUGCCAGAUAUGGAAGAUCAAGCAAUGCCGUCCAUUCAAUCACCACCAACACAAAAUAACAUUUAAGACCUCGGUGAUGCAUUAAUAUAGUUGAUCAGAACCAAAAAGUAGGCCAAAAAAACAAGACACUUCAAGCACAAAUAAAAAAAGGUGAAAAACGAAGGAAACAAACCGCAUCCUUCUUGCUAUUUUGCUU